rnacentral:rRNA from 1 species
AGUGAACGCUGGCGGUAGGCCUAACACAUGCAAGUCGAACGGCAGCACAGUAAGAGCUUGCUCUUACGGGUGGCGAGUGGCGGACGGGUGAGGAAUACAUCGGAAUCUACUUUUUCGUGGGGAAUAACGUAGGGAAACUUACGCUAAUACCGCAUACGACCUACGGGUGAAAGCAGGGGAUCUUCGGACCUUGCGCGAUUGAAUGAGCCGAUGUCGGAUUAGCUAGUUGGCGGGGUAAAGGCCCACCAAGGCGACGAUCCGUAGCUGGUCUGAGAGGAUGAUCAGCCACACUGGAACUGGGACGCGGUCCAGACUCCGACGGGAGGCAGCAGGGGGGAAUAUUGGACAAGGGGCGCAAGCCUGAUCCAGCCAGACCGCGUGGGUGAAGAAGGCCUUCGGGUUGUAAAGCCCUUUUGUUGGGAAAGAAAAGCAGCAGGUUAAUACCCCGCUGUUCUGACGGUACCCAAAGAAUAAGCACCGGCUAACUUCGU